CGUGUGACUGCGUACCUUUUGUAUAAUGGGUCAGCGACUUAUAUUCUGUAGCAAGGUUAACCGAAUAGGGGAGCCGAAGGGAAACCGAGUCUUAACUGGGCGUUAAGUUGCAGGGUAUAGACCCGAAACCCGGUGAUCUAGCCAUGGGCAGGUUGAAGGUUGGGUAACACUAACUGGAGGACCGAACCGACUAAUGUUGAAAAAUUAGCGGAUGACUUGUGGCUGGGGGUGAAAGGCCAAUCAAACCGGGAGAUAGCUGGUUCUCCCCGAAAGCUAUUUAGGUAGCGCCUCGUGAAUUCAUCUCCGGGGGUAGAGCACUGUUUCGGCAAGGGGGUCAUCCCGACUUACCAACCCGAUGCAAACUGCGAAUACCGGAGAAUGUUAUCACGGGAGACACACGGCGGGUGCUAACGUCCGUCGUGAAGAGGGAAACAACCCAGACCGCCAGCUAAGGUCCCAAAGUCAUGGUUAAGUGGGAAACGAUGUGGGAAGGCCCAGACAGCCAGGAUGUUGGCUUAGAAGCAGCCAUCAUUUAAAGAAAGCGUAAUAGCUCACUGGUCGAGUCGGCCUGCGCGGAAGAUGUAACGGGGCUAAACCAUGCACCGAAGCUGCGGCAGCGACGCUUAUGCGUUGUUGGGUAGGGGAGCGUUCUGUAAGCCUGCGAAGGUGUGCUGUGAGGCAUGCUGGAGGUAUCAGAAGUGCGAAUGCUGACAUAAGUAACGAUAAAGCGGGUGAAAAGCCCGCUCGCCGGAAGACCAAGGGUUCCUGUCCAACGUUAAUCGGGGCAGGGUGAGUCGACCCCUAAGGCGAGGCCGAAAGGCGUAGUCGAUGGGAAACAGGUUAAUAUUCCUGUACUUGGUGUUACUGCGAAGGGGGGACGGAGAAGGCUAUGUUGGCCGGGCGACGGUUGUCCCGGUUUAAGCGUGUAGGCUGGUUUUCCAGGCAAAUCCGGAAAAUCAAGGCUGAGGCGUGAUGACGAGGCACUACGGUGCUGAAGCAACAAAUGCCCUGCUUCCAGGAAAAGCCUCUAAGCAUCAGGUAACAUCAAAUCGUACCCCAAACCGACACAGGUGGUCAGGUAGAGAAUACCAAGGCGCUUGAGAGAACUCGGGUGAAGGAACUAGGCAAAAUGGUGCCGUAACUUCGGGAGAAGGCACGCUGAUAUGUAGGUGAAGUCCCUUGCGGAUGGAGCUGAAAUCAGUCGAAGAUACCAGCUGGCUGCAACUGUUUAUUAAAAACACAGCACUGUGCAAACACGAAAGUGGACGUAUACGGUGUGACGCCUGCCCGGUGCCGGAAGGUUAAUUGAUGGGGUCAGCGCAAGCGAAGCUCUUGAUCGAAGCCCCGGUAAACGGCGGCCGUAACUAUAACGGUCCUAAGGUAGCGAAAUUCCUUGUCGGGUAAGUUCCGACCUGCACGAAUGGCGUAAUGAUGGCCAGGCUGUCUCCACCCGAGACUCAGUGAAAUUGAACUCGCUGUGAAGAUGCAGUGUACCCGCGGCAAGACGGAAAGACCCCGUGAACCUUUACUAUAGCUUGACACUGAACAUUGAGCCUUGAUGUGUAGGAUAGGUGGGAGGCUUUGAAGUGUGGACGCCAGUCUGCAUGGAGCCGGCCUUGAAAUACCACCCUUUAAUGUUUGAUGUUCUAACGUGGACCCGUGAUCCGGGUUGCGGACAGUGUCUGGUGGGUAGUUUGACUGGGGCGGUCUCCUCCUAAAGAGUAACGGAGGAGCACGAAGGUUGGCUAAUCCUGGUCGGACAUCAGGAGGUUAGUGCAAUGGCAUAAGCCAGCUUGACUGCGAGCGUGACGGCGCGAGCAGGUGCGAAAGCAGGUCAUAGUGAUCCGGUGGUUCUGAAUGGAAGGGCCAUCGCUCAACGGAUAAAAGGUACUCCGGGGAUAACAGGCUGAUACCGCCCAAGAGUUCAUAUCGACGGCGGUGUUUGGCACCUCGAUGUCGGCUCAUCACAUCCUGGGGCUGAAGUAGGUCCCAAGGGUAUGGCUGUUCGCCAUUUAAAGUGGUACGCGAGCUGGGUUUAGAACGUCGUGAGACAGUUCGGUCCCUAUCUGCCGUGGGCGCUGGAGAACUGAGGGGGGCUGCUCCUAGUACGAGAGGACCGGAGUGGACGCAUCACUGGUGUUCGGGUUGUCAUGCCAAUGGCACUGCCCGGUAGCUAAAUGCGGAAGAGAUAAGUGCUGAAAGCAUCUAAGCACGAAACUUGCCCCGAGAUGAGUUCUCCCUGACCCUUUAAGGGUCCUGAAGGAACGUUGAAGACGACGACGUUGAUAGGCCGGGUGUGUAAGCGCAGCGAUGCGUUGAGCUAACCGGUACUAAUGAACCGUGAGG
rnacentral:rRNA from 1 species